UACGUAGGUGGCAAGCGUUGUCCGGAUUUACUGGGCGUAAAGGGCGUGCAGGCGGUUUGUUAAGUUCAGGGUGAAAGCUCCCGGCUCAACUGGGAGAGGUCCUUGGAUACUGGCAGACUUGAGGAGGGUAGAGGAGAGUGGAAUUCCCGGUGUAGUGGUGAUAUGCGUAGAUAUCGGGAGGAACACCAGUGGCGAAGGCGGCUCUCUGGGCCCUACCUGACGCUGAGGAGCGAAAGCGUGGGGAGCGAACAGG
rnacentral:rRNA from 1 species